CUGCCCCCACCCCCGCCCCAAGAUUUGUCCAAUCUAUUUGCUAGCUUAACUGGCUCCCCUCUUUCCAACUGGAGAGGCAGAGCAUGGCGGCUGGCGGGGAAGCAGUGUUUGCCUGGACUCUCAAGACUGCAAAGCUGCAGGACUGGUGGGUGAGAGAGAUUUGUUCUGACCACCAGAAGGCUGGGACACAGAAAAUCUUCAGCUACAAAUAUAAGACCCGAUACUCUGAACCUAAUUUGGAGAAAAUAAAGAAUAGACUUGGAUUCAUUGGCCUAGGAAGAACUUUCUGAACAAAACCCUGAUAGCACAGGCAUUAAAAUCAACAAUUAAAUAAACAGAAUCUUACAAAACUGAAAAGCUUUUGUUCUGAAAAGGACUACUCUAUCAUUUGAGUGAAGAGGCAAUCUACAGAAUGGGAAAAUGUCUUUACCAAUUAUAUGUCUGAUAGAGAAUUAGUACUAGAAUAUACUAAGGAUAAAAAAAAAACUAAACUAAACAUCAAGGGAAAAAAAAAACAACUAAAAAAACCGAGGCAUG